GAUGAACGCUGGCGGCGUGCCUAAUACAUGCAAGUCGAGCGAACGGAUGAGGAGCUUGCUUCUCUGAUGUUAGCGGCGGACGGGUGAGUAACACGUGGAUAACCUACCUAUAAGACUGGGAUAACUUCGGGAAACCGGAGCUAAUACCGGAUAAUAUUUUGAACCGCAUGGUUCAAAAGUGAAAGACGGUUUUGCUGUCACUUAUAGAUGGAUCCGCGCUGCAUUAGCUAGUUGGUAAGGUAACGGCUUACCAAGGCAACGAUGCAUAGCCGACCUGAGAGGGUGAUCGGCCACACUGGAACUGAGACACGGUCCAGACUCCUACGGGAGGCAGCAGUAGGGAAUCUUCCGCAAUGGGCGAAAGCCUGACGGAGCAACGCCGCGUGAGUGAUGAAGGUCUUCGGAUCGUAAAACUCUGUUAUUAGGGAAGAACAAAUGUGUAAGUAACUAUGCACGUCUUGACGGUACCUAAUCAGAAAGCCACGGCUAACUACGUG
rnacentral:rRNA from 1 species